rnacentral:lncRNA from 1 species
CUGUGCUGCAGGACGUGGUCCCUCUCCUGUGCUGGUGACAGCUGGCGUUACACUACAUUGUGCUUCAUAGGGGCUGAGUGACGGAGGAGCAGGGAUGGGGAAUGGGGCUGAGAUGGGUUCAGUCCCACAGUGCAGUGCCCUGAGUGCUGCCCAUGGGAUGCACACAGGCCCGGAUGGACUCAUGGGAGGAGGCAGCUGAAGCUGCCAGGCAGAGCCGCAAACCUCAGCCAAUGUAAACACACCCCAGCGCACACCACACAGUGUAAAUACUGUUUGGCAAAAGGAUUACUGGGUUUUGCUCUCUGGCAGGUAAUAAAAGUUUAAUCCAGUCCGCCAUCUGCAGUCAGGACGGGGACGGUAAGUGAGAUGCCUUAAGCUGCUGCUGGAGACGCGCACAGGAGAGGCAGUGACAGAAAGAAAGGGACAAAUGCCAUCGCCAAAUGACGCCCAUCACUGAUGGCUGCAACGCCACGCUGCUGGGGCUGAACCCAGAGCAAGAAAGCAGCAAUCGCCCAGCAGCCACGUGGGACCACGGGCUCUCUUUUGGGCACAGCGCCCACACACGGGACCCGAUGCCUCGUGCACAACGUCACUGAUCCUUCAUGGAGGGAUUUUGGAUGCUUGAUUCAAAGUGGCACCGCCACGAUGGCAGCCCGGCAGCGAAAAGGACGAGAGGAAAAGGAGCAGCUUUUCUCCCAUCGCUGUGCUUGAGGCACCCGGCUGCAGACGGAGCGGGACCACGUGCUCCUAUUGCUGACACACUUGAAGUCGAAAUACACAGUGAGUACACGUGUGCAGACAGCAUUUACUACAUCUGUACGUGCCCCGUGUAAGCACACAGCACGUGUGAGUCUCUAUUGCUCAGGUGUGUGUGCUGUGCACAGUCACACCAACACAAACCACCACGGGCAUUUCUAUGUGUGCACACACUUGCACGGGAGAAAGGAAUCUGCAGCUGAAAUCCAACCAGGCAGAAGAACAAAAGAAGACCCUGUGCAGGUGGCUUCUCCCCCUCUCCC